rnacentral:rRNA from 1 species
UAAUACGGGGGGUGCAAGCGUUGUCCGGAUUUACUGGGCGUAAAGGGCGCGUAGGCGGCUUCAUCAGUCGGACUUUUAAGAGCGGGGCUCAACCCCGUGGUGGGUUCGGGACGGUGGAGCUGGGGCGCGGUCGAGGGGGAUGGAAUGCCGGGUGUAGUGGUGAAAUGCGUAGAUAUCCGGCGGAACACCGGUGGUGAAGGCGAUUCCCUGGACCGAGGCCGACGCUGAGGCGCGAGAGCGUGGGGAGCGAACCGGAUUAGAUACCCGGGUAGUCCACGCCGUAAACGGUGGGCACUAGGUGUGGCGGGUAUCGACCCCCGCCGUGCCGACGCGAACGCAUGGAGUGCCCCGCCUGGGGAGUACGGCCGCAAGGCUA